rnacentral:lncRNA from 1 species
UUCUAGAAAUACUCCCAUUAGCCUAUGAUCUUUGCUUUGGCAUGGAGUCUGAUGACACAUUGAUACCAUUUUCUGCCUGUUAACCUACCAAAGGACACAAAACCCUCUUCAUUUCCCUAGAAGUACAUGUAAUAUUUCAAAAUGUAUCACGGGGCACAGCCAUCCCAGGAAAAAGAUGUAAGGUAAUGAGAUAACGUGAAGAAUUCUAGGCACUGAAACUCAAUUCUGGUGGUGAUUUUAGUCUGAGGAAACACAACAAAGGCCAAGAAGAAUGGGAUCGUCAUGACUGGCUGGGAAAUGAAUCAUGGGCAGCCCAGACGCAGGGCUUUGAUCAGUCCAGCUUCCUCCUCCUAAGAAGUUUCCACCAGAACAUUGCUUGGUGACAUAGUGGUCUUCACCCUGAGCGUCUACAAAUGUAUGUUAAGUUGCUAUUAAGGACCUGUGGACAGAGAAGGCACACCACCACAGAUACUAUAUUUUCUACAAAUUGAAGAUUUGUGGCAAACCUGCAUUGACCAAGUCUAUCGGCACGAUUUUACCAACAACAUAUGCUCACUUGGUGUCUCUUUGUCACAUUUUGUGGUCUGGAACCAAACCCCUGAUAUUUCUAUGAUGUGCCUGUAGAUUGAGGAGGCAGUAGCAGCACUGGGAGCUGGUCCUCUCAGCACCGACAGCAAGCCCCACAGCACCACUGUUGGGUUUUGGCAUGAUCAGCAACCAGGAAUAUUCCCACAACCAUCCCAGCCAGGAGGGGAAAUGGGGUCGUCACCCAGUGUGCAGAACAUAUAAAGACAUCCCUUGGGAACCUCAAAAUUGGAACGGAGAUGGGCCAGAGAAAUACAUUUGUGACUACGUCUGUGACCUGAAUUUUUCCUACCACAGUAUGUGACUCCUCAGCUUCUGACUAAUGGGGUACAGGGGAUGCUACCACAAAAUAUGGCAGCUUGGCAUACUGGGUUUUUUAACCUGAAUUAAAUUGAGAAAACUGUAGAGGCAAGAAAGUCACUCUACCUUCUCCUGCCUUUUUCCCAUGGAACAUGGCUGUAAAAGAAUUUUCUGACCUACUUUGCCUGAAAAUAAGUCCUAAGACCCUCAUUCCAGAGGGGUCCUGCCCUAUACCUGGAGACCAAGAAGAAUCUGAACAAACAGGCCUUCCUAAAUUCUCCACAGCUUAUUACCAUCACAUCCUUUUGUCCUCCAAUCACACUUCUGUACAAGUGACCAUAAAAAUACAGUUUUCCCUGGGCCUUUGGGUCUUCAUUUCUAAAGGCUCCCAUGUCAUGUAAAACUUUGGUUAAAUACAUUUGUUUUGCCUUUGUCCUGUUAAUCUGUCUUUUGUU